UAGGGAAUCUUCGGCAAUGGACGAAAGUCUGACCGAGCAACGCCGCGUGAGUGAAGAAGGUUUUCGGAUCGUAAAACUCUGUUGUUAGAGAAGAACAAGGACGUUAGUAACUGAACGUCCCCUGACGGUAUCUAACCAGAAAGCCACGGCUAACUACGUGCCAGCAGCCGCGGUAAUACGUAGGUGGCAAGCGUUGUCCGGAUUUAUUGGGCGUAAAGCGAGCGCAGGCGGUUUCUUAAGUCUGAUGUGAAAGCCCCCGGCUCAACCGGGGAGGGUCAUUGGAAACUGGGAGACUUGAGUGCAGAAGAGGAGAGUGGAAUUCCAUGUGUAGCGGUGACAUGCGUAGAUAUAUGGAGGAACACCAGUGGCGAGGGCGGUUCUCUGGUCUGUAACUGACGCUGAGGCUCGAAAGCGUGGGGAGCAAACAGG
rnacentral:rRNA from 1 species